UCAUAACAAUACAAUAUAAAGAGACAUAUUUGAAAACAUCAAGAUUUUUAUAAGAACAACAUAUGAAAGUUGAACUUUAUAGAGAUAUAUUUGUCAUUUACUAUAUUUGUAGGGAGCUGUAUGAAAUUAACGUUAUAAAUUAAUGCUCAUGCAUAUAUUUUAUAAUCCAUCCCCUCUACUCAAAUCCAAACUAUCACAUUUUACUAAUAACAUAUACAUCCAU
rnacentral:lncRNA from 1 species